AAUUCCUACGCGGCAUUGACCACGACUAAUGACAUGAAAAAUCAUCGUUGUAAUUCAACUAUAAGAAC
rnacentral:tRNA from 1 species